GCCUGCAACUCUAAUCUUUUUCUAAACUCUACUAAUAAUGUAGCAAUAGUAUUUGUAGUAUUCCUAGUAUUUUACAAUCAAAGCAACGUUGCCAACGACGGUUGUCAAGCAUCGUCAAUCAUUGAGUUGUUUAUCUGGUGUCACUUCAGCCACUGCAGUCAGAUAAAAAAUGGUAGAGAAAAGUUGUUUCCUUUGGUGUCCAUCUAGAUUUGGAAGUUGUGAAAAAAAAAAUACCGGAAAGGAUUUUUUUGGCUGGGGAAAAAAUGUUUAGAGGCAAUGGUUCCAGUAGAUGGAAAAUUUCCGUUUUCAACAGGAAGUGAUCCAGAGAGCCUAUCGAGGUUUCACUAAACAUCCAUGAGGCCAUGGGUGUAAUGGAGAAAAUGGUUAAACGGUUGAAAGUGCUUCAACUACUCGGUAAAUUUAGAAAACAGCGAAGCGAUGCACAGUUGACAAAUCUCUUCCCGUGCUCUUCCUAAGAUGCUAUCCUAAGGACGCGUUUGAAACCAGAUCCGGAGUAUUUUGAUGUUAUUUGUGUAAAAUAAAUGACUUAAUACAUA